rnacentral:rRNA from 1 species
UACGUAGGUGGCAAGCGAUACUCGGAAUCACUAGGCGUAAAGCGCAGGUAGGAGGUUUGGUAAGUCUGUUGUGAAAUCUCCGAGCUUAACUCGGAAAGGUCAACUGAUACUGUGCGGCUAGAGUGCGGAAGGGGCAACUGGAAUUCUUGGUGUAGCGGUGAAAUGCGUAGAUAUCAAGAGGAACACCUGCGGCGAAGGCGGGUUGCUGGGCCGACACUGACGCUGAGGCGCGAAAGCCAGGGGAGCGAACGGG